rnacentral:tRNA from 1 species
GGCACUUUGGCCGAGUGGUUAAGGCGCCGUCUUCAGGUGGCGGUCCGAAAGGGCGUGGGUUCGAAUCCCACAGGUGUCA